rnacentral:rRNA from 1 species
GAUGAACGCUGGCGGCGUGCCUAAUACAUGCAAGUCGAGCGAACGGACGAGAAGCUUGCUUCUCUGAUGUUAGCGGCGGACGGGUGAGUAACACGUGGAUAACCUACCUAUAAGACUGGGAUAACUUCGGGAAACCGGAGCUAAUACCGGAUAAUAUUUUGAACCGCAUGGUUCAAAAGUGAAAGACGGUCUUGCUGUCACUUAUAGAUGGAUCCGCGCUGCAUUAGCUAGUUGGUAAGGUAACGGCUUACCAAGGCAACGAUGCAUAGCCGACCUGAGAGGGUGAUCGGCCACCUUGGAACUGGGACACGGUCCAGACUCCUACGGGAGGCAGCAGUAGGGAAUCUUCCGCAAUGGGCGAAAGCCUGACGGAGCAACGGCGCGUGAGUGAUGAAGGUCUUCGGAUCGUAAAACUCUGUUAUUAGGGAAGAACAUAUGUGGAAGUAACUGUGCACAGCUUGACGGUACCUAAUCAGAAAGCCACGGCUAACUACGUG